rnacentral:rRNA from 1 species
GUGAAGCGGGAAAAGCUCAAAUUUAAAAUCUGGCGGUCCUUGCGGCCGUCCGAGUUGUAAUCUAGAGAAGUGUUAUCCGCGCUGGACCGUGUACAAGUCUCCUGGAAUGGAGCGUCAUAGAGGGUGAGAAUCCCGUCUUUGACACGGACUGCCAGGGCUUUGUGAUGCGCUCUCGAAGAGUCGAGUUGUUUGGGAAUGCAGCUCAAAAUGGGUGGUAAAUUCCAUCUAAAGCUAAAUAUUGGCGAGAGACCGAUAGCGAACAAGUACCGUGAGGGAAAGAUGAAAAGAACUUUGGAAAGAGAGUUAAACAGUACGUGAAAUUGUUGAAAGGGAAACGCUUGAAGUCAGUCGUGUCGUUCAGGGAUCAACCUUGCAUUUUUUGCUGGGCGUACUUCCUGUUCGACGGGUCAGCAUCAAUUUUGACCGUCGGAUAAAGGCUUGGGGAAUGUGGCAUCUUCGGAUGUGUUAUAGCCCUGGGUCGCAUACGACGGUUGGGAUUGAGGAACUCAGCACGCCGCAAGGCCGGGUGUUCGCACCACGUACGUGCUUAGGAUGCUGGCAUAAUGGCUUUAAUCGACCCGUCUUGAAACACGGACCAAGGAGUCUAACAUGCCCGCGAGUGUUUGGGUGGUAAACCCGAGCGCGUAAUGAAAGUGAAAGUUGAGAUCUCUGUCGUGGAGAGCAUCGACGCCCGGACCAGAACUUUUGUGACGGAUCUGCGGUAGAGCGUGUAUGUUGGGACCCGAAAGAUGGUGAACUAUGCCUGAAUAGGGUGAAGCCAGAGGAAACUCUGGUGGAGGCUCGUAGCGAUUCUGACGUGCAAAUCGAUCGUCGAAUUUGGGUAUAGGGCGAAAGACUAAUCGCGCAUCUAGUAGC